AUUGAACGCUGGCGGCAUGCCUUACACAUGCAAGUCGAACGGUAACAGGUUAAGCUCACGCGUGUCGGACUGGCGAGUAAUGUAUCGGAACGUGCCCAGUCGUGGUGGAUAACUGCUCGAAAGAGCAGCUAAUACCGCAUACGCCCUGAGGGUGUAAGCGGGGGAUCGCAAGACCUCGCGUGUUUGGAGCUUCCGAUAUCAGAUUAGCUAGUUGGGGAGGUAAAGGCUCACCAAGGCGACGCUCCGUAGCUGGUCUGAGAGGACGAACAGCCACACUGGGACUGAGACACGGGCCAGACUCCUACGGGAGGCAGCAGGGGGGAAUAUUGGAAAAUGGGGGCAAGCCUGAUCCAGCCAUACCGCGGGGGGGAAGAAGGCCUUCGGGUUGUAAAGCCCUUUUGUUGGGAAAGAAAAGCAGCAGGGUAAUACCCCGGUGUUCUGACGGUAACCAAAGAAUAAGCACCGGCUAACUUCGUG
rnacentral:rRNA from 1 species